GUGGCUAUAGUGUAAAGGUUAGCACAACAGACUGUGGCUCUGUUUGCACGGGUUCGAAUCCCGUUAGCCACCCCA
rnacentral:tRNA from 1 species